GGGCCCAUAGUUAAGCGGAUAUAACCCCCGCCUUCUAAGCGGUUGUCCCAGGUUCGAUUCCUGGUGGGCCUG
rnacentral:tRNA from 1 species